rnacentral:rRNA from 1 species
UACGAAGGGGGCUAGCGUUGCUCGGAAUCACUGGGCGUAAAGGGUGCGUAGGCGGGUCUUUUAAGUCGGGGGUGAAAUCCUGGAGCUCAACUCCAGAACUGCCUUCGAUACUGGAGAGCUUGAGUCCGGGAGAGGUGAGUGGAACUGCGAGUGUAGAGGUGAAAUUCGUAGAUAUUCGCAAGAACACCAGUGGCGAAGGCGGCUCACUGGCCCGGUACUGACGCUGAGGUGCGAAAGCGUGGGGAGCAAACAGGG